rnacentral:rRNA from 1 species
UACGUAGGGGGCAAGCGUUAUCCGGAUUUACUGGGUGUAAAGGGAGCGUAGACGGCUGGCCAAGUCUGAAGUGAAAGCCCGGGGCUUAACCCCGGAACGGCUUUGGAAACUGGCCGGCUGGAGUACUGGAGAGGAAAGUGGAAUUCCUAGUGUAGCGGUGAAAUGCGUAGAUAUUAGGAGGAACACCGGUGGCGAAGGCGGCUUACUGGACUGUAACUGACGUUGAGGCUCGAAAGCGUGGGGAGCAAACAGG